rnacentral:lncRNA from 1 species
CAACACCGCCUCCUCCACCUCGAACUCCUCGCAGUCGGAGCUCCUCAGCGUAAGCAUCUUCUUCUCAGCCAUUGGUGUUGCUGAAUGCUAGUAAUGCUGGUGCGACGACAGGACGACUAAAUCCUAGCACGAAUCGAAUCGUAGCUACCUACGUCUACGUGCGGCGCGCGGCAGGAUGAUUGGGAGGGAACGAGGCAAGGCCCUGACGACGGGACCUCUCCUUUUUAUAAAAAAAAUCCUGGAUGAUUUGGAACGAGGAAAACGGACGAAAGGCCGUUUAGCCCGUCCACAAUGUACGGGAACGGGAGUCUGUUUUGUUGCAACGGCCGCCUGUUUUGUUGCAACGGCCGCUGUCCUGCACUCCUGCUCAAGGUGCAGAGGACGGUGAAGGGGAUGCGGUGGAAGACGCUGCUAGCAAACCAUGAGGACGGCCCCAACGUGCCUGAGAAGGUGCUCUUCGCUGUCAAGCGGUACUGGACAGCCGCCGGCGAAGGCACGGCAGCAGAGGAGAAGACGCCGGGCAGCUCUUCAGUAGCAGGUGAUGGAGGUGGACGGCUGGCUGCUUUCAGUUUGUGUCGCCUUUUUCAGAACGCUUGAUAGAAGUGAGGAUUUAUGUUUAGAGCGUAGAAGAUCUAGAAUUUCAGAUGCUUUGGGUUUUUGCAAUUUUGCAGUAGUUUAUUUCCUUUUCUUCUAUAUUAAUAUUAUCUAUUAACCAUAAAGAAGGCCAAGUUUCUUUCGGUUUAUUUUUUUUGUCCACUGGUCUCUAAAUAUAUAGAUAGAACAUAGUUCUUUUUUGUUAUCACCUACUAGUAUAAUGUCCAUAAGUUGCGACGGCACACAAUCAUUUCAUAUCUUUACUACAAAAAGGCCGCCCCGCGUCACAUGUGAACUAUGUGAACUGUAUAUUCCUUUCAUACCAGCUGCAGUUACCCUAUAAAUAGGCGGUGAAAAUCACUUAAGUGAGAAAUCAUAUAAGCAUGCAUGCAUGCACAACAUUCAAUAUUAUGUAACACCUAAUAUUAGGUAAAUCAGUUUGCGAAGCCAAUGUCAAUCUAACACAUGAAAUGUCUCUUAUCACAAAUAUCGUAUUUUAUAUGCAUCAUAACCUGGGAUCCUGAAAGGAAACUAUCUACCAUCUUGGCAUUAAGGGCUACUUUAGGAACCUCAUAUCUCCUUCGGGAUUGGAGUGGAUUGAGGUGGAAAUGAACUAAUUUUCUCUCCAAUCCCCUUCAAUCCCGAAGGGGAUUAAAAAAGUUCGAAGCAAUACCUCAUGAGCUAGUCCGUCAACUUGUGCUCUCUCGCGGCGGCGAUGGCGGUGCGACGCUCCGGCUAGGCUGCCCUCGUUGUCCGGCGAAGUGCCCCCAGCCCUUGGCCAUGGGGGCCCCUCGGUUGGUUCUGGUCCAUCUGCCCUGGAUUUCUCCGACGGCCUUCGUUUUCAAGAUUGGAUUCUUCACAAGUUCAAUUGCCCAAUCAAUCUUCUUUCGGGUAAAUUUGACCGACAUGAGUUCUUUUUAGUCAUAUAUUUUGGUAGGUGUUCCUUGCGUCUGUGCGCAGAAUCAGUGGGCUUUCUUCUUCAAUCGUUCAUUGGUGGAUCAGCGGAUUUAUUUAGGGUUAUUCCUUUGUCGAACCGGGUUUUUCGCUUCUCGCUUUCCUGCAAGGAUGUUGGUUUUGCAGUUUAUAGACGUCGCUCUUAUGUCUGCUCCUCGUUCAAAGCGUACCUUCAUCUUUGGCAUUCUGGUGGCCCUAAUUGGAUCAAAGAAUGGCAGCUCUACUCUGAUGAAGAAUGGCAGCUCUACUCUGUCGAAGAGCGUCGCCGGCGCAACCUUGCCGAACUCCGCGUCCCACUUUUUGAGGUCGACCUCGCCGCCGCCCCCAGCUGAUGAGGCGUUGGUGGUCUCCGCGGCGUCGGCGGGCUUGGCGGCGUCGUGGACGUGCUUGUUGCAGUACUCGAUGACUAGGGCGAGAGUCUUGGAAUUGACGUUGGGGAGCGGGAUGACGUUGUCGGAGCAGUCGUCCUCGAUCAUGAAGCGAAUGAUCUCUGACUUCAUCAACACCGCCUCCUCCACCUCGAACUCCUCGCAGUCGGAGCUCCUCAGCGUAAGCAUCUUCUUCUCACCCAUUGGUGUUGCUGAAUGCUAGUAAUGCUGGUGCGACGACAGGACUAAAUCCUAGCACGAAUCGAAUCGUAGCUACCUACGUGCGGCGCGCGGCAGGAUGAUUGUGAGGGAACAAGGCAAGGCCAUGACCUGGCCGUGACGAGACCUCUCCUUUUUAUAAAGUCCUGGAACGAGGAAAACGAACUGAAGGUCGUUUAGCCCGUCCACAAUGUAUGGCCGCCUGUUUUGUUGCAACAGCCUGAAUAUCUAUCUGCUGUAUGGAUGAUUUGCAACGGCCGUCACCACAAUUGUAUUACGGAACCUGAAUAUCUAUCUGUUGUAUGGUAC